AAGUCGUAACAAGGUUUCCGUAGGUGAACCUGCGGAAGGAUCAUUAAUACGUUCUAAACAACGUUUUAAACCUUACAAAUUUGUGGAAAUUCUUAACAUUCCGGGUGCAUUUUAUUGGCAUGAGAAGGGACUUCUCGUUAUGAGACACUUCAGUGUAGAGCAGUGAGGUGAAAUCUGAGCUUGUUGAUGGCUUGGAUUUGGUUCUGGAUCAUGACUCUAUGAGUCAAAAUUCCAAAUGCAUUCGGUUAUUUCUGUUCUACAUUUUAUUCUAUCAAACUUAUAAACCCCAUGUACAACAACUUGAACUAAACAUCUCUUCGACUCUUCGGAGUUGAAGAACAAAUCUGAAAUUAAGAACAACUCUUAACAACGGAUAUCUUGGUUCUC
rnacentral:misc_RNA from 1 species